GAUGAACGCUGGCGGCGUGCCUAAUACAUGCAAGUCGAGCGAACAGACGAGGAGCUUGCUCCUCUGACGUUAGCGGCGGACGGGUGAGUAACACGUGGAUAACCUACCUAUAAGACUGGGAUAACUUCGGGAAACCGGAGCUAAUACCGGAUAAUAUAUUUAACCGCAUGGUUCAAUAGUGAAAAACGGUUUUGCUGUCACUUAUAGAUGGAUCCGCGCCGCAUUAGCUAGUUGGUAAGGUAACGGCUUACCAAGGCAACGAUGCGUAGCCGACCUGAGAGGGUGAUCGGCCAAACUGGAACUGAGACACGGUCCAGACUCCUACGGGAGGCAGCAGUAGGGAAUCUUCCGCAAUGGGCGAAAGCCUGACGGAGCAACGCCGCGUGAGUGAUGAAGGUCUUCGGAUCGUAAAACUCUGUUAUUAGGGAAGAAAAAAUGUGUAAGUAACUAUGCACGUCUUGACGGUACCUAAUCAGAAAGCCACGGCUAACUACGUG
rnacentral:rRNA from 1 species